rnacentral:rRNA from 1 species
GAUCCUGGCUCAGGAUGAACGCUGGCGGCGUGCCUAAUACAUGCAAGUCGAACGCGAGCACUUGUGCUCGAGUGGCGAACGGGUGAGUAAUACAUAAGUAACCUGCCCUAGACAGGGGGAUAACUAUUGGAAACGAUAGCUAAGACCGCAUAGGUACGGACACUGCAUGGUGACCGUAUUAAAAGUGCCUCAAAGCACUGGUAGAGGAUGGACUUAUGGCGCAUUAGCUGGUUGGCGGGGUAACGGCCCACCAAGGCGACGAUGCGUAGCCGACCUGAGAGGGUGACCGGCCACACUGGGACUGAGACACGGCCCAGACUCCUACGGGAGGCAGCAGUAGGGAAUUUUCGGCAAUGGGGGAAACCCUGACCGAGCAACGCCGCGUGAAGGAAGAAGGUUUUCGGAUUGUAAACUUCUGUUAUAAAGGAAGAACGGCGGCUACAGGAAAUGGUAGCCGAGUGACGGUACUUUAUUAGAAAGCCACGGCUAACUACGUGCCAGCAGCCGCGGUAAUACGUAGGUGGCAAGCGUUAUCCGGAAUUAUUGGGCGUAAAGAGGGAGCAGGCGGCAGCAAGGGUCUGUGGUGAAAGCCUGAAGCUUAACUUCAGUAAGCCAUAGAAACCAGGCAGCUAGAGUGCAGGAGAGGAUCGUGGAAUUCCAUGUGUAGCGGUGAAAUGCGUAGAUAUAUGGAGGAACACCAGUGGCGAAGGCGACGAUCUGGCCUGCAACUGACGCUCAGUCCCGAAAGCGUGGGGAGCAAAUAGGAUUAGAUACCCUAGUAGUCCACGCCGUAAACG